GACGAACGCUGGCGGCGUGCUUAACACAUGCAAGUCGAGCGAUGAAAUCCCUUCGGGGAUGGAUUAGCGGCGGACGGGUGAGUAACACGUGGGUAACCUGCCUCAAAGAGGGGGAUAGCCUCCCGAAAGGGAGAUUAAUACCGCAUAACAUUAGUUUUUCGCAUGGAGGACUAAUUAAAGGUGUAAUCCGCUUUGAGAUGGACACGCGGCGCAUUAGAUAGUUGGUGAGGCAACGGCUCCCCAAGGCGACGAUGCGUAGCCGACCUGAGAGGGUGAUCGGCCGCGGUGGAGCUGAGAGGCGGUCCAGACUCCUACGGGUGGCAGCGUGAGUGAUUAUUGCACAAUGGUCGAAAGCCUGGUGCAGCUGCGCCGCGUGAGUGAUGAAUGCCUUCGGCUUGUAAAUCUCUGUCUUUUGGGACGAUAAUGACGGUGCCAAAGGAGGAAGCCACGGCUUACUACGUGCCAGCAGCCGCAGUAAGAC
rnacentral:rRNA from 1 species